rfam:Triticum urartu cultivar G1812 contig641354, whole genome shotgun sequence.
GCGGGGAUAGCUCAGUUGGGAACUUGGGAGAGCGUCAGACUUAAGAUCUGAAGGUCGCGUGUUUGAUCCACGCUCAACGCA